GAUGAACGCUGGCGGCGUGCCUAAUACAUGCAAGUCGAGCGAACGGACGAGAAGCUUGCCUCUCUGAUGUUAGCGGCGGACGGGUGAGUAACACGUGGAUAACCUACCUAUAAGACUGGGAUAACUUCGGGAAACCGGAGCUAAUACCGGAUAAUAUUUUGAACCGCAUGGUUCAAAAGUGAAAGACGGUCUUGCUGUCACUUAUAGAUGGAUCCGCGCUGCAUUAGCUAGUUGGUAAGGUAACGGCUUACCAAGGCAACGAUGCGUAGCCGACCUGAGAGGGUGAUCGGCCACACUGGAACUGAGACACGGUCCAGACUCCUACGGGAGGCAGCAGUAGGGAAUCUUCCGCAAUGGGCGAAAGCCUGACGGAGCAACGCCGCGUGAGUGAUGAAGGUCUUCGGAUCGUAAAACUCUGUUAUUAGGGAAGAACAUAUGUGUAAGUAACUGUGCACAUCUUGACGGUACCUAAUCAGAAAGCCACGGCUAACUACGUG
rnacentral:rRNA from 1 species